GAUGAACGCUGGCGGCGUGCCUAAUACAUGCAAGUCGAGCGAACAGACGAGGAGCUUGCUCCUCUGACGUUAGCGGCGGACGGGUGAGUAACACGUGGAUAACCUACCUAUAAGACUGGGAUAACUUCGGGAAACCGGAGCUAAUACCGGAUAAUAUAUUGAACCGCAUGGUUCAAUAGUGAAAGACGGUUUUGCUGUCACUUAUCGAUGGAUCCGCGCCGCAUUAGCUAGUUGGUAAGGUAACGGCUUACCAAGGCAACGAGGCGUAGCCGACCUGAGAGGGUGAUAGGCCACACUGGAACUGAGACACGGUCAAGACUCCUACGGGAGGCAGCAGUAGGGAAUCUUCCGCAAUGGGCGAAAGCUUGACGGAGCAACGCCGCGUGAGUGAUGAAGGUCUUCGGAUCGUAAAACUCUGUUAUUAGGGAAGAACAAAUGUGUAAGUAACUAUGCACGUAUUGACGGUACCUAAUAAGAAAGCAACGGCUAACUACGUG
rnacentral:rRNA from 1 species